rnacentral:rRNA from 1 species
CUAGCGACUUCAGAGUUUGAUCCUGGCUCAGGACGACGCUGGCGGCGUGCCUAACACAUGCAAGUCGAACGGGGUUGUUCCUUCGGGGACAACUUAGUGGCGAACGGGUGAGUAACGCGUGAGGAACCUGCCUUUCAGUGGGGGACAACAGUUGGAAACGACUGCUAAUACCGCAUAAUGUCAUUAGGGGGCAUCCCUUGAUGACCAAAGAUUUAUUGCUGAAAGAUGGCCUCGCGUCUGAUUAGCUAGUUGGUGAGGUAACGGCUCACCAAGGCGACGAUCAGUAGCCGGUCUGAGAGGAUGAACGGCCACAUUGGGACUGAGAUACGGCCCAG